UAACACAUGCAAGUCGAACGGGAUCCAUGAGAGCUUGCUCUCGGAAGAUCUAGUGGCGAACGGGUGAGUAACACGUGAGAAACCUGCCUGGAGUGGGGAAUAACUCGGGGAAACCCGAGCUAAUACCGCAUACCCUUGGAUGAUCGCAUGGUCGACCAAGGAAAGAUUUAUCGCUCUAGGAGGGUCUCGCGGCCUAUCAGCUAGUUGGUGGGGUAAUGGCCUACCAAGGCAACGACGGGUAGCUGGUUUGAGAGAACGAUCAGCCACACUGGGACUGAGACACGGCCCAGACUCCUACGGGAGGCAGCAGUGGGGAAUCUUGCGCAAUGGGCGAAAGCCUGACGCAGCAACGCCGCGUGCGGGAUGACGGCCUUCGUGGUUGUAAACCGCUUUCAGCAGGGACGAAAAUGACGGUACCUGCAGAAGAAGCCCCGGCUAACUACGUG
rnacentral:rRNA from 1 species